rnacentral:rRNA from 1 species
UACGUAGGGUGCAAGCGUUGUCCGGAAUUAUUGGGCGUAAAGAGCUCGUAGGCGGUCUGUCACGUCGGCUGUGAAAACCCGAGGCUCAACCUCGGGCCUGCAGUCGAUACGGGCAAACUAGAGUACUGCAGGGGAGACUGGAAUUCCUGGUGUAGCGGUGAAAUGCGCAGAUAUCAGGAGGAACACCGGUGGCGAAGGCGGGUCUCUGGGCAGUAACUGACGCUGAGGAGCGAAAGCGUGGGGAGCGAAC